UGGUGGUGAUGUGAGGAGCUAGAAUUCAAGCACCUUAGCUUCUGUUCAUUUCAGACGGUGCUGGAAGUGCCAGAUUGGAUGACAACACACUUUGCAGGCCCCAGACCCCUUUUCCUAUAUCAUCCAGGAAGUGAUUCUGAAUUAGGUCCUGAUAAAAGGCUAAGGUUAAAAUGGAUGGAUGUGCUGGCUGAGAGGUACCAUCUUCCCUGGUGUGGCCUGCACGCUGUGAUACACAGUGGUGAUUGAUCAGACAACGAGAGAUGGUCAAGUGUUGCUCGUAUUGAAAGAUUUUAGGGAAAGUAAUUAGCUGGUAAUUGAUUCAAAAUGUGUUUUUGGAAAAAGGUAGUUUAUGUGGCGUAGAAUAUGAGAUUUGCUUGACUUUUUAAGAAUAACUGAGAUUUCAAUCAAAUUUCCUUGGUGCCUGCUCUGUGUGCAUUCUCUUCUGCCAUUUUGUGUACUCUAUUUGAAAAAUUUGGUGUAAAUUCCAACUUAUAGCUUUCCGCCUCUGGUACACAGAGCAGAGAUUAAAUGAGAAGCAAAUUGUCUUCUGUCCACCAUGAAGGAAAGUUAUCUAUGUGCUCUGCACUGGAACAGGAGAAAUUACCUUAGACCUGUGCAGUUUAAAGAUGCUGAUCUCUCUGAUCCUGACUGGAGCACGGUGCUGUGAUGCAGCGUGAAGACCACCCCUGUUUUCCAGAGGUAGAAGCACUGAGAGAGCGAGGGCUUCUGCCUGAGGGUGUGCAUAUUCCUCCCUGGAGCCAGGGCUCUUGCAGGUUGAUAUAUUUCUGCUCCUUCCUCUGCCUCGCACCCAGUGUGGACUCUGAGCUAAAUACACAGACUGUGUUAUUGACUGGUUCUUCUCCUUUCCCCUCUUCUUAUUUCUCAUUUGUUCUUUACCUUCUUUAUCAAGAAUGAAUAUUAUCUGUCUUGGGAAUAAUUUCUUAUGUAUAUAUUUAUUCUUAUAUAUAUAUUUACACUAUUGUACUUUUUUCAUCUUGUACAGCUGAAACUCUAUACCCAUUAAAUAUAAUUCCCUCUCCCUUCUCCAGCCCUUGAGAACCACCUUUCUACUUUCUAUGAUCUAUUUUUUAUUUUAUGUUUUUGGUACUGGGGGUUGAAGCCCAAGGGUUCUGAGCUAUAUCCCCAGCCAUUUUUAUUAUUAUUUUGAAACGGUCUUGCUAUAUUGCUGAGGCUGGCCUAGAACUUGCAAUCCUCCUGCCCCAGCCUUCCAAAUCACUGGGAUUAUAGCCAUGUGCCAAUGCUCAUCUGGAUUAUUUAUUUCUAGGAUUUUCCAUUUAAUAGUUUUGGUUCAUGGUGAGGGUAAUUGAAAACACAGAUAAGGAGGGACUACUGUAUUCAUAUAUAUUUGUAAUUCCCACAUUCAUGGUGUUAAAAGUGUGUUUGCAUAUAUUAUUUCAUUUUAUCAGUCCAAUGUGUUCCUAUUUGUUAACUUACUUUAUGAGAGAUAGGCAGGGAGGGGAGAAAGGACCUGGCUUACCCUCCAUAUCUGCCACCCGUGUGUGUGUGUGUAUGUGUGUGUGUGUGUAUGUGUGUGUGUGUGUGUUUUCAAUCAUGUGUCAGGUAUCUUUGAGUUCUUGUUCCACGCUGGGCCCUGUUGGGAGCAGUACUCAGCAUGCGAGACAGGCACAUGAAGAGCUAUGAAUAUUAUUAGGAAAAGGGCAAGCAGUAAAGAAAGUGCAACUGAGCUGUGUCUUUGUGCCUGUAACCCCUGGUUUCAAUCAGUAUCCCCCCCGCAAAAAAAAAAGAAA